rnacentral:rRNA from 1 species
GGUGAACUGCGGAGGAUCAUU